GACGAACGCUGGCGGCGUGCCUAAUACAUGCAAGUAGAACGCUGAAGGAGGAGCUUGCUUCUCCGGAUGAGUUGCGAACGGGUGAGUAACGCGUAGGUAACCUGCCUGGUAGCGGGGGAUAACUAUUGGAAACGAUAGCUAAUACCGCAUAAGAGUAGAUGUUGCAUGACAUUUGCUUAAAAGGUGCACUUGCAUCACUACCAGAUGGACCUGCGUUGUAUUAGCUAGUUGGUGAGGUAACGGCCCACCAAGGCGACGAUACAUAGCCGACCUGAGAUGGUGAUCGGCCACACUGGGACUGAGACACGGCCCAGACUCCUACGGGAGGCAGCAGUAGGGGAUCUUCGGCAAUAGACGGAAGGCUGACCGAACAACGCCGCGGGAGUGAAGAAGGUUCUCGGAGCGUAAAGCUCUGUUGUAAGAGAAGAAAGAGUGUGAGGGUGGAAAGUUCACACUGUGACGGUAUCUUACCAGAAAGGGACGGCUAACUACGUG
rnacentral:rRNA from 1 species